AUGAGGGAAUUGCCCGGGAAGGGGGAUCCCUGCGUGAGCCCUGGCAUGGRGCUCACAUCUCCAGUCCCCUGUCCCCAAAGUCCCCAACCUGCUUCCCAGGCAGCACCCAUCUGCUCCCAGCACCUCACUGAGCCGGACAUCCCCAGCCAGGCCCCGCGCUGCAGCUGCAGGCACAUGUCCCUGCUCGUUCCCAUGGGCCCCCCAGGCGCUCGGGGUAUUUGGGACCUGCCGGGGUCUGGUGCAGUUUUCAAGGGAAAAGCAAGUGGAGACCCCAAAUGCCRCAGGGAAGGGGCCGGCGGGAUGCGUCCCCAAGUGUGCGGGGUGCAUGGGAUGGGGGUKGCAUUUCUCCUGGCCCCCAACCUCCCAGGCCAAGCCAGCAGCCGGCUCGGGGGUCUCCCCAUCACCGGUGCCCCCAAGCAUGGGGGGUCCCAGACACCUGGGUGCCAUCCCCACCGUGCAAGCAGCACCCUCGCCUUUCCCCYCCAGCCCACGGAGGGAGGAUGGGGACAGCGAGCUCCCGGCACGUUCGGGGGCGAUGCCGGCCACCCCUUCCCACGCUGGGCUCUUUGGGGAGCCCCCAGCCGCUCUGCCCCAGAGGGAGGAUGGGGACAGCGAGCUCCCGGCACGUUCGGGGGCGAUGCCGGCCACCCCUUCCCACGCUGGGCUCACUGGGGAGCCCCCAGCCGCUCUGCCCCAGAGCCAGGCACCCCAAAAGGCCCAGCCGUCCCCGUUGCUGGGGCAAACCCUUCCCCAGGGCCGGCCGGGCAGGUCCCCUGUGCUCCCCAGCCCGCGGCCACCGUGGCCACCGCGGGCCCCUGCCCGGGCCACCCCGGUCCCCGUCCACCCGGCCCUGGUGGGGCCACCCACCCGCCUCUGACUCAGAGCCAGAAUAUAGGCCGUGGCUCUAAAAAUAACCCAGCUCCGGCACAAAGCAAUUUCUGUUCUUCCAGCCGGGGGGAUACGAACGUGAGCAAAAGCCCCGAAAUAGCAGCACGGCCCCCUUCUGCCCUGCUCCUCCGCCRGGAGCCGGGGACAGCCCUCGCCAGCACCGGCCUCGGGGCGGCUGCGGGGCGGCGGGGGGCCGGCGGGGAC
rnacentral:lncRNA from 1 species